rnacentral:snRNA from 1 species
GUACUUGUUUCAGCAGCACAUUACUAAAACUGGAACUAUGCAGACAAGAUUAACAUGGGCCCUGCAAAAGGAUAACAUGUAAAUUCAUGAAGUGUUUCAUAUUUUU